GCCCAGAUGGCGGAAUUGGCAGACGCGCUAGACUCAAAAUCUUGUGCCUUCGGGCGUCCGGGUUCGACCCCCGGUCUGGGUACCA
rnacentral:tRNA from 2 species